rnacentral:sRNA from 1 species
AGUUUAGAUAUAUGUUGUAUAUGGUUGUUUUACUACUACACCAUUAAAGGGGAACAAACCCUAUUGUACAAAAAUCACCCAAUACUGUAAAUGCACAAAUGUGCUGAAAGUAUGUAUAUAUAUGUACAGUGUAUGUGAAGUUAAAAAUACCCUCUAUCCACAUUUUUCAACUCAUUCCACAGACAUCAGUGCUCUCUGAGCUAUGUGCUGUGUGUAAUCCUUUUAAUCACAGGUAUUGUUUGUGUAAGUGUUGUUACAAUGUGUCCAUUUUAUAUCCAAUAUUGUUAAUACACUCUGAAAUGUUCUAGUCAACACAUCAGUAUAGUAUGUAGGUAUGUAUUUAACAUAUGUAUUUCUGUGUACAGGAAACAUUUUAUAUAUUAUGUAUAUGGUACAAAUUCUGGUCUAUAGGGGUUUUCGUGUGUGAUGUACAUGAAUAUAUAUAUAUACUUUUCUUGCGGUAAAAAUAUUGUACUAAGACUAAAGUGUGUGUUCUACUAAGCUUCAUUUCUGGCAAGGCCUCACUGGAGUUCUUAAAAUUUCUAACAAAUAUUGACAGUGAUUACUGCAUAAACUGUAUCAUAUUCCAACAAAUUGCCCCAUAUGAAGGACUAUGUGAGAGAUUUCUUCACUGAAAUAACAGCUUUAUAAAUGCUCCUGUAGUAUUAGUGAGACGAGUGUCCUGCAACUACUGAUAGUUCACAUGAUCAUGCUGUACCAGUAAAAGCUAUACCACGCCUCAUCAUGUCUGUAAUGGUAGAUACAUUGAAUUAUUUGUUAGUGAAAUGCUGGUUGUUUACAUGUUUAGCUGUGAUCCUUGUUGUAUUUAAUAUACCAAUGUAUACUCAAGUUUGCUGUAAAUGCAGGUGUACAUGUACAUUAAUUAUAAAUAAACUGCCUCUUAAC